AUGAACGCUGGCGGCGUGUUUAAGGCAUGCAAGUCGAACUCUUGUAGCAAUACAGGGGUGGCAGACGGGUGCGUAACACAUUGGUAACCUACCUCGAAGUCAUGAAUAACCUGCCGAAAGGCGGACUAAUACAUGAUAGCAAUGGGGGGUCAUAUGACAUUCCCAUUUAAAGUUUUUCGCUUCGAGAGGGGCCUAUGGUCUAUCAGCUAGUUGGUGAGGUAACGGCCCACCAAGGCGACGACGGAUAGCGGGUGUGAGAGCAUUACCCGCCUCACUGGGACUGAGACACUGCCCAGACUUCUACGGAAGGCUGCAGUCAAGAAUAUUCCGCAAUGGCCGAAAGGCUGACGGAGCGACGCCGCGUGAUUGAUGAAGCCCUUCGGGGUGUAAAGAUCUUUUAUUGGGGACGAACAAAUGACGGUACCCAACGAAUAAGAGGUUGCUAACUCUGU
rnacentral:rRNA from 1 species